rnacentral:rRNA from 1 species
GACGAACGCUGGCGGCGUGCUUAACACAUGCAAGUCGAACGGAAAGGCCCUGCUUUUGUGGGGUGCUCGAGUGGCGAACGGGUGAGUAACACGUGAGUAACCUGCCCUUGACUUUGGGAUAACUUCAGGAAACUGGGGCUAAUACCGGAUAGGAGCUCCUGCUGCAUUGUGUGGGUUGGAAAGUUUCGGCGGUUGGGGAUGGACUCGCGGCUUAUCAGCUUGUUGGUGGGGUAGUGGCUUACCAAGGCUUUGACGGGUAGCCGGCCUGAGAGGGGGAACGGCCACAUUGGGACUGAGAUACGGAGCAGAAUCCUACGGGAGGCAGCAGUGGGGAAUAUUGCACAAUGGGCGGAAGCCUGAUGCAGCAACGCCGCGUGCGGGAUGACGGCCUUCGGGUUGUAAACCGCUUUUGCCUGUGACGAAGCGUGAGUGACGGUAAUGGGUAAAGAAGCACCGGCUAACUACGUG